rnacentral:rRNA from 1 species
GAUGAACGCUGGCGGCGUGCCUAAUACAUGCAAGUCGAGCGAACAGACGAGGAGCUUGCUCCUCUGACGUUAGCGGCGGACGGGUGAGUAACACGUGGAUAACCUACCUAUAAGACUGGGAUAACUUCGGGAAACCGGAGCUAAUACCGGAUAAUCUAUUGAACCGCAUGGUUCAAUAGUGAAAGACGGUUUUGCUGUCACUUAUAGAUGGAUCCGCGCCGCAUUAGCUAGUUGGUAAGGUAACAGCUUACCAAGGCAACGAUGCGUAGCCGACCUGAGAGUGUGAUCGGCCACGCUGGAACUGGGACACGGUCCAGACUCCUACGGGAGGCAGCAGUAGGGAAUCUUACGCAAUGGGCGAAAGCCUGACGGAGCAACGCCGCGUGAGUGAUGAAGGUCUUCGGAUCGUAGAACUCUGUUAUUAGGGAAGAACAAAUGUGUAAGUAACUAUGCACGUCUUGACGGUACCUAAUCAGAAAGCCACGGCUAACUACGUG